rnacentral:rRNA from 1 species
AGAGACAGCAGCAGCCACGGUAAUACGAAGGGUGCAAGCGUUACUCGGAAUUACUGGGCGUAAAGCGUGCGUAGGUGGUGGUUUAAGUCCGUUGUGAAAGCCCUGGGCUCAACCUGGGAAUUGCAGUGGAUACUGGGUCACUAGAGUGUGGUAGAGGAUAGUGGAAUUUCCGGUGUAGCAGUGAAAUGCGUAGAGAUCGGAAGGAACAUCUGUGGCGAAGGCGACUAUCUGGGCCAACACUGACACUGAGGCACGAAAGCGUGGGGAGCAAACAGGAUUAGAUACCCCCGUAGUCCCUGUCUCUUAUAA